AGUGGCCUGACGAACUUUGACAGUAGGCUAGGUCAAUUUUUCUAAAAUGGGCUUAAAAAGAUAACAGGAGUCGGGAAGGAAAAAAGAAAGAAAGAGACUGCGAGAUGGUGCCCGUGCAUCACUUUCAGGUUGUCAUGAUGCAUAACUCCUGUUAAAUAUCUUCAAGUCAACUAGAGCACAGUGAGGAGACAAUCGUUUCACCUUUGCAUGAGCCAAGAGCAGUGACACACAGAUAAGGUGCAGUGUGCCAUUUCCUCUGCUGAGGGUAAGUGGAAAAGACAUCCACAGCAUGGCUUUUUACUGGAUGCCAAAGAUUACCAGAGAAGAGAGGUGUAUUAUGGAUUUAGUUCCAUGGUUACAGAAGAUACCAACAUAACUAUGAUCCUUUCCACUCAGAAAGUCCCUUUCAUUUUUGUUGCAAAGCAUCAUUCAAAAAGGACACAUACUGUAGUGAGCCCAGACCAGCCCUAGGGGAUUGUGGGGGAUUAGAGCCAGCCUAUCUCAGCAGAGCUAUUCAUUAAGUAAUUAUGACUCUGGGGCUUCGAUGAAAUAUGCAUGAGCUCUGACUGGUCCUUUUGUGAUUGUGUAAUCCAACUUCAGUCAUACAUUCAUCUUUUUUUCAGCUACAGUGUCAAACUAACAAACACAUAUACACACCUAGAUUUAUACAUAUUCUGUGUUCUCAAAAUCAUUAUUGUUUAAGUUGAAACUAACUAAAUCAUAUUCUCUUGAAAAAGGUUUGAACCUCAGUAUCGGACGAAAUGU